rnacentral:lncRNA from 1 species
AGAAGUUGCAACUUAAUCUCAAAUAGUUUUAAAUAGUGCAACGUAAGUCUCAAAUAUUGUAAUUUAAUCCCAAGCAGUAUAAUUUUUAUUUUAUGUAGUGCAAUUUAGUCUUAUAUAGUUUUAAAUGGUUUAAGUUAGCCUAAAACAAUGCAAUUUAAUAUCAAACAAAGUAAUUUUCAUCUCCAACAGUACAGCUUCUUCUUCUUUUUCUUUCUUCUCUAUUUAUUAUCCUUUUCUGUAACGGCCACAACACACAUGACAGCCUUCCAAAUGCAAACUUAGUCUAAUUUAUACUUAUACAUGAACUUGUAUCUAUCACUAAUAAGCAGGUGUUGUUUGGUUGGGGGUUAGGAGGGGGGUGAUAAUUUAAUUUUUAAAUUUAAAUUUUAAAUUUUAAAUUUAAGAAUUUAUAAUCUUAAUUAAUAUUUAUAAUUUUAAAUUAUAAAUUUUUUAAAUUUAAAUUUGAGAUUUAAAAUUUAAAUUUUAUUUUGAAUUUUUUUUAAUUUUUAAAGUUAUAUAUUUAAAUUUAAAAUUUGAAAUAUAAAUAUUAAAAAAUUUAAAUUCAAAUAUGAUGAGCAAUAUCUUUAUUUUCUAUUUAUAACUACCCACUAUUUUUCUUAUUCCAUCUUAUCUAUCCAAACGCUAUUUUUUUUAUUGCCGGCAACAAUUUAAUAAUUUUAUCCAAACAUAAAAUUAAUCUAUUCCAGACUUAUAGCUAAACUUAUACAUAUCUCUGUAAUAACUAGUUAUUACUUAAUCCCGAACUAAACAAAGCCUUACGUUACAUGGGUUUAU